rnacentral:lncRNA from 1 species
GAGCUGUGGCCCCAGGGACUAGCGCGCACGCCAGGGCCGCGAUCCGGCUGGUCACUCGGCGGCUGUUGACAAUUGAAUAAACAGCCAAAGCCCUGGGAUCCGUCAAUGGCUGAAGCCGCCU